rnacentral:rRNA from 1 species
CAUGAAGCUGGAAUUGCUAGUAAUCGCGGAUCAGCAAGCCGCCGGUGAAUACGUUCCCGGGCCUUGUACACACCGCCCGUCACACCAUGAGAGUCGGGAACACCCGAAGUCCGUAGUCUAACCGCAAGGGGGCGCGGCCGAAGGUGGGUCCGGUAAUUGGGGUGAAGUCGUAACAAGGUAAC